rnacentral:lncRNA from 1 species
GAAAAGAAAAGAAAACUGAAUCCUAAAAGCAGAGAAGGAAAAGAACUUUUAACUCAGAGAAAGGAUGAGUUUUGGAAACUUACAAGUUUCCAUCAAUCGUGGAGAUCAAAAUGUUUCUUUUGCUUUAUAAAUACUUCUCUAGUACCCUCCCAAUCCCAUAUUGUUAUGAAACCUAGAUGUGAGAAAGCAUUUCCAAAAAUAAAAUGGAGAUUUGAUUUUAUUUUUUUCCAAAAUCUUAGCAAAUUGGGUUUCAAGGCCAAAUUGGAAUUAGUUCAGAAAAAAAAUCAGCUUUUAUUCUUGGUCUGAAAGAUUAUAGUCAAUUUUAUAUUUGACAGCCAUUAAGAUUCCCAAGAUCACUAAAAAUAUCCUCUCAUAUUACAGCUGCAUUAUAUAUGGACUAAUCAAAAUACCAAUAUAUUAAACUUAUUGGAUUUUUAGAUAUAUAGAAAUAGACAUAUUUAUGGGGUACCAUGUGAUAUUUUGAUUGUAUUGAAGAAAACUGUGCAGACAGAUGAACACUGUUAAUAAUCACUUUGACCCUUAACAUAAACAAUAAUAAGAAAUGACAACAGUGGGCGAUGCUGAGACUCAAUUUAUUUUUAAAAUGAUUACAAACACCCCUAGGUAGAAAUAACCUGAGUGGCCAAAGCUUCUAAAGGGAAGCAAGACAACAUAUCACAGAAGGUUACUUUUUAGAUCCCCUGUAGGCCAUGAACUUCUAAGAAGAACAUUUUCUUGAAUUGGAAAGGGCACUAGGUAAAAGAAGUCUUGGAUUUGCAUAACAUCCUAAGUGUAAAUGUGAACUCACAUGAGGUAUAGUGUUUUAAGACAGUGUACUGUGAAAAUACCUUAAGCUUCUGACAAAAAUAGUAAAGUCCUGGAAAAUGGAUGCAUUUUCAAAGAGUAGAAAGACAGUUCCAACAGAAGAGGGAUCCAAAUGCUGGAGAAGGCCCAUGACUCAAGCAUGACAAUACCACAUAGUAUCCAAGUCCACAACAGCUGCAACCUUUAGAAAAUGAUCUCUCUAGGGUCUUCAUCUCUGAGUAUUAUACAACUCAAGAGUGCACGGCUGAUUUACCUGAGCACUUUAGGUACAGCUUUGGCCAUGCUGAAAACCAGAGAGAAAUACAAAUCAGCUUCUUGAAUAUUCAUCCAAAUGAAAAUGAAAGUGUAUCUGCAUUUAGCUGAAGCUAAAAACUGAUUCAGAAACUCUUGGCCACAAAACACUCAGGAUUG